rnacentral:rRNA from 1 species
CGGCGAGUGAAGCGGCAACAGCUCAAAUUUGAAAUCUGGCCCUUUCAGGGUCCGAGUUGUAAUUUGUAGAGGGCGCUUUGGUGUUGGCUGCGGUCUAAGUUCCUUGGAACAGGACGUCACAGAGGGUGAGAAUCCCGUACGUGGUCGACAGUCUUCACCGUGUAAAGCCCCUUCGACGAGUCGAGUUGUUUGGGAAUGCAGCUCUAAAUGGGAGGUAAAUUUCUUCUAAAGCUAAAUAUUGGCCAGAGACCGAUAGCGCACAAGUAGAGUGAUCGAAAGAUGAAAAGCACUUUGGAAAGAGAGUCAAAAAGCACGUGAAAUUGUUGAAAGGGAAGCGCUUGCAAUCAGACUUGCCUGUAGUUGCUCAUCCGGACUCUUGUCCGGUGCACUCUUCUGCGGGCAGGCCAGCAUCAGUUCAGGCGGCUGGAUAAAGGCCUCUAUCACGUAUCUUCCUUCGGGAUGACCUUAUAGGGGAGGUGUAAUGCAGCCAGCCUGGAUUGAGGUCCGCGCAUCUGCUAGGAUGCUGGCGUAAUGAUUGUAAGCGGCCCGUCUUGAAACACGGACCAAGGAGUCUAACAUCUAUGCGAGUGUUUGGGUGUCAAGCCCGGACGCGCAAUGAAAGUGAACGGAGGUGGGAACCCUCACGGGUGCACCAUCGACCGAUCCUGAUGUCUUCGGAUGGAUUUGAGUAAGAGCAUAGCUGUUGGGACCCGAAAGAUGGUGAACUAUGCCUGAAUAGGGUGAAGCCAGAGGAAACUCUGGUGGAGGCUCGCAGCGGUUCUGACGUGCAAAUCGAUCGU